rnacentral:rRNA from 1 species
AUACAGAGGGUGCGAGCGUUAAUUGGAAUUACUGGGCGUAAAGCGAGUGUAGGUGGCUCAUUAAGUCACAUGUGAAAUCCCCGGGCUUAACCUGGGAACUGCAUGUGAUACUGGUGGUGCUAGAAUAUGUGAGAGGGAAGUAGAAUUCCAGGUGUAGCGGUGAAAUGCGUAGAGAUCUGGAGGAAUACCGAUGGCGAAGGCAGCUUCCUGGCAUAAUAUUGACACUGAGAUUCGAAAGCGUGGGUAGCAAACAGGAUUAGAUACCCUGGUAGUCCACGCCGUAAACGAUGUCUACUAGCCGUUGGGGUCCUUGAGACUUUAGUGGCGCAGUUAACGCGAUAAGUAGACCGCCUGGGGAGUACGGCCGCAAGGUUAAA